GUCGCACGGAGUGGGGCUCUGUGUGGCCCUUCACGGGAGGGAGAGAGACAGCAUGGAGACACGUGCAUUCUGUUUUCCCCUGGGAAGAACGGAAACCGUCUUGUUUUCCUCCACUCUUCAGGUGUCACAGCUCAAAUGUGGUUUCUUGGCAGCCGCCUUCCAGGACCAUCUAGAAGAGCCCAAGUCACUGUCCACCUCAUCACCUGGUCUUCAUGCAGCGUCUGGAUCAGAGGCUCCCCACGUAUCGUCUGCCCGCCAGCGGGAGCUCCGCACGGUGCCCUGUCUGUCUCUCAGCGUUGCAACCUAGGCAGGGCAUGCAGCCUGGGUGUCGUGAGUGCCUGGAGAUGAGCGGCAGAGCGCUCGGACCCUGGUCCCUGCCUGCUGGCCUCCCACAGCCACGACCACUUACCCCACCCGGCAUUCUCUCUGAUGCGUGGACCAAAAGGGAAGGGCAUGGGAAGGCGUGGGACGAGCGGAGAGGCAGGAGAAUGUUUUUUAGCAAGACACAAGUGGCAUCUCCUUAUUUUAAUGAUAAAAAGCACCCAAGGUGGGCAGACCUGGCCAUGAAACCUGUCUAACCUCUGCAUCCCACUUAACCUUCAGCCAGGACGUAGCACCUCCACCGAGGUCUGAUUAAAGGACAUCUGUGAUCGCUCUGCCUGCGACCAAGACUAAAUCCCCCAGCACACACACAGGGGGCUUCUCCCCACCCGGCCUCUAAGCAGGACUGUGAUGGGCGAGGGCUCAUGUUCACCACUGCCUUUGCUAGAACAGAGGUUCCAAGCACGUCCCAACAUCACCAACAAGUUACUGAGAUGAGAAGGAAGGAAAAACAACGAACACAGAGAAAUGAGCUUCACAGAGCUUUGGAGUACCCAGCCAAGAAAUCCUUGUGGAGUCGUUGCCAGUGCAGACUCUGCAGCCAGACUCCUGGGUUCAAAUCCCAGACUGAGCCUCCAUCAGCAUCUGUGUGACCCACACUAGUGCUUUGGUUUUUCUCGCCUGUAAAAUGGGCCCAUUUUACAGGUGAGAAAAUGUGUGGGUCCCACAUUUGUGGAUGCCCGUGAGGUGCUGAGUGUACCGUGUGCCCCACGGCUGUGAGCAGCCCUGUUCUCAUCCUUCCCAUUGCAGUGGCGGGUCCCUGUACCCUCUGCCAGGUGUCACCAAACCGAUUUCACCUGUGCACACCCUCGCAGGCAGCCAACGGCCAUUCUCUCCCCACCACAGCCAAGGCGGAAGGUCCAGGCGCUUACCUUUGCCGAGGGAGGUGGC
rnacentral:lncRNA from 10 species